AGUGAACGCUGGCGGCAGGCCUAAUACAUGCAAGUCGAACGGCAGCACAGUGGAGCUUGCUCCAUGGGUGGCGAGUGGCGGACGGGUGAGGAAUACGUGGGAAUCUGCCCAGUCGUGGGGGAUAACGUAGGGAAACUUACGCUAAUACCGCAUGCGCCCUUCGGGGGAAAGCCGGGGACCUUCGGGCCUGGCGCGAUUGGAUGAGCCCACGUCGGAUUAGCUAGUUGGCGGGGUAACGGCCCACCAAGGCGACGAUCCGUAGCUGGUCUGAGAGGAUGAUCAGCCACACUGGAACUGAGACACGGUCCAGACUCCUACGGGAGGCAGCAGUAGGGGAAUAUUGGACAAUGGGCGCAAGCCUGAUCCAGCCAUGCCGCGUGAGUGAAGAAGGCCCUCGGGUUGUAAAGCUCUUUUGUCCGGAAAGAAAGCAUUCGGUUAAUACCCGGGUGUUCUGACGGUACCGGAAGAAUAAGCACCGGCUAACUUCGUGCCAGCAGCCGCGGUAA
rnacentral:rRNA from 1 species